CAGCAGCCGCGGUAACACGAAGGGGGCUAGCGUUGCUCGGAAUUACUGGGCGUAAAGGGAGCGUAGGCGGACAUUUAAGUCAGGGGUGAAAUCCCAGAGCUCAACUCUGGAACUGCCUUUGAUACUGGGUGUCUUGAGUGUGAUAGAGGUAUGUGGAACUCCGAGUGUAGAGGUGAAAUUCGUAGAUAUUCGGAAGAACACCAGUGGCGAAGGCGACAUACUGGAUCAUUACUGACGCUGAGGCUCGAAAGCGUGGGGAGCAAACAGGAUUAGAUACCCCAGUAGUCCCUGUCUCUUAUAC
rnacentral:rRNA from 1 species